AUUGAACGCUGGCGGCAGGCCUAACACAUGCAAGUCGAACGAGUGGCGGACGGGUGAGGAAUGUCUGGGAAACUGCGCGAUGGAGGGGGAUAACUACGGGAAACGGUAGAGAAUACCGCAUACCAUCGGAUGUGCCCAGAUGGGAUUAGCUAGUAGGUGGGGUAACGGCUCACCUAGGCGACGAGCCCUAGCUGGUCUGAGAGGGUGACCAGCCACACUGGAACUGAGACACGGUCCAGACUCCUACGGGAGGCAGCAGUGGGGAAUAUUGCACAAUGGGCGCAAGCCUGAAGCAGCCAUGCCGCGUGUAUGAAGAAGGCCUUCGGGUUGUAAAGUACUUUCAGCGAGGAGGCGUUACUCGCAGAAGAAGCACCGGCUAACUCCGUGCCAGCAGCCGCGGUAAUUC
rnacentral:rRNA from 1 species